UACGGAGGGUGCAAGCGUUACUCGGAAUCACUGGGCGUAAAGGACGCGUAGGCGGAUUAUCAAGUCUCUUGUGAAAUCCUAUGGCUUAACCAUAGAACUGCUUGGGAAACUGAUAAUCUAGAGUGAGGGAGAGGCAGAUGGAAUUGGUGGUGUAGGGGUAAAAUCCGUAGAGAUCACCAGGAAUACCCAUUGCGAAGGCGAUCUGCUGGAACUCAACUGACGCUAAUGCGUGAAAGCGUGGGGAGCAAACAGGAUUAGAUACCCUGGUAGUCCACGCCCUAAACGAUGUAUACUAGUUGUUGCUAAGCUAGUCUUGGCAGUAAUGCACCUAACGGAUUAAGUAUACCGCCUGGGGAGUACGGUCGCAAGAUUAAAACUCAAAGGAAUAGACGGGGACCCGCACAAGCGGUGGAGCAUGUGGUUUAAUUCGAAGAUACGCGAAGAACCUUACCCGGACUUGAUAUCUAACAAAUCAUCUAGAGAUAGAAGAGUGUCUGCUUGCAGAAAUGUUAAGACAGGUGCUGCACG
rnacentral:rRNA from 1 species